AGAAGGGGUAGGAGGGCACAGGAGGGAAGGGGAACGUUUCAGAAAGAGAGAGGCAUAGUGAAAGUGGUGUAGGAAUCAUAGCAUGGCUUUCACACUUAGACUGUGUAACUUCUUUUUCAGACCUCAGUUUCCACAUCAUGGAUGUACUUGGCACUUGCCGCCUGUUAACAGUGUUGCUCAUAGAUGCAUCCUUCCUCUCCUACUGAGGUUCUCCAGGGCAGACCCUGCCAGGUCAUCUCACCCCGAAGAGUCUGGCACAGGGCUUUCUUCACAGCCAUUGGGCAGGUAUAUACCCAACAGAAAUACAUCCAUAUGUGUGCUGAAAAACAACUAGAAUGUCCAAAGCAGUGGGAACUACCCCAGUGUUCAUCAGCAGUAGACACUGCGCAGGAGAGAGUUCUGUGCAGCAACGGGGACCUGCAGGAAUAUUCGUGAAUCUCACAGCCAUGUGGGGAAGGAGCCAGACGCAGUAUCAUGUACAAGGUAAGACUCCGUGCAUGUAAAGGUCAGAAGCAGGCAGAGCUGAGGGAGCUGGUAGCAGUCAGGAUGGCUGGCGGGCUCCCUUUGGGGUCAGAUGGAAGGAAACACAGGGAUGCUUCUGGGAGUGGGUCAUUGUCCGUGUCUUGAGCGCAGAGCUGGUGGUGCAGGUGUGAAAGUUGACGACAUGACUUUCCCUAUGUAAAUUAUUUUCCAGUAAGAAGUUUAAAAAUUGGGAAGGGGUGGUUAGAGAUAGAUUUGUUUAGUUUCAGGGGACUGAGUUCAUUUUGAGCCCGAAAAGGAUUCUUUCAGAAAAAUCCUUACCAUCUUACUCAUGACCAACAAUGGGAAGAGAUGGAUGUCAGUAACAUGAGCCAAGAGAAACUUAGGUACCUCCGAGGAAGCUUUGUCCACAAAAUGGGUACUUGUAGAAACAGGUAAAUGACGCUUCAUCUGUGGGCUGUACUUUGGGGUUUUCAAAGCGUUUUCACAUUUAUACACUCUUCAUGCAUUGAAUAUGAAACAAUUAUUUUGACGAAUGGCACUGCUAAAGGAGGAGACCAACUUUAGGAAAGCCCUUGAUAAAACAGUUCAGAGGUGGAAGGUGAUAUCCUGGUUUAGAAGGUGACAGUGAAGCAAAGAGGCAUCCUACUGCUCUACAUAAGAAAUGCAGGGAGACUUCAGGUGGGACUGGGACAGAGGAGAGGAAAGGAGGUGGGGUGGGCAGUGCCAGGCAAGAGGGCAGGAGGCUGAUUCUUCACAAGAGUCCAUAACCCUUAUACGACUUACUGUGUCCUGGGCGUGUCAUAAGUGGUGCACGUGCAUGCACACACACACACACACAUCAUGAAGUUUCUAAUCCUCACUCUGUAGGGAAGUGAUAUGAGGUCAUUUGUUCUAGGCCACAUGCCCAGUAAGUGGCAAUGCUGGGAUCUGAGCCUCCACGGGCCCCCUCCCAGUGCCUGAGCUAUUAACCACUAGGCUACGUUGCCUCUCUGUGUCUUUGAAAACAGUCUAAUAUGCUAUAUGUGGUUGUUUGUGAUUGACCGAGUAAACCUCCUCUUCCCCGGCCCCCAUUUUCAGUAAAUUUCACGCGUAAAUGUCUCCUGGGAGCCUUUAGGGAGGUGCUGAGUUGCACGUGGGGAUCAGCACUGAGCAGACGCCAAAACAGCCACGGGAGUGAGAUACAAAUGAGCAGGAGAGGCCAGCAGGGGCAGAGGGUGGCCCUGAGUGCAGCCGUCCCCAGGGAGUCACAGAAAUCUUGGGGGAAAAUAUUGGAUUUCCUGUUCACAAGGGAUUGAAGUCCUAGCCAAUUUAAUUUAAAUUUCAAAGAACAGUGUCUAACUGCAGCUGGCAUCUGGGUUAUACACACAGCAACUGUGAGAGGUGGGGAGAAAGGCUCUGUGAGCCCCAUUUCACAGAAUAAAUUAGCCCCAGACAGAGUCAGAAACCCAGCCAAGGUCACACAUGGGGUUGGCACUGAGGGAUUUGAACCACUUCAGUUAAGAACAACUGGGGAGUAUCUCAGUUCAGUUUAGUUCAGUCGCUCAGUCGUGUCUGACUCUUUGCGACCCCAUGGACUGCAGCAUGCUAGGCCUCCCUGUCCAUCACCAACUCCCAGAAUUUACUCAAACACAUGUCCAUUGAGUCGGUGAUGCUAUCCAACCAUCUCAUCCUCUGUCGUCCCCUUCUCCUCCUGCCUUCAAUCUUUCCCAGCAUCAGGGUCUUUUCCAGUGAGUCAGUUCUUCGCAUGAGGAAGCCAAAGUAUUUGAGUUUCAGCUUCAGCAUCAGUCCUUCCAAUGAAUAUUCAGGACUGAUUUCCUUUAGGAUGGACUGGUUGGAUUUCCUUGGGGAAGAACUGCGCCUUGAAAAUAUAGUUCCUGUCACCUGGGUCCCCAGGCUGCCCCGCUCCUGCCCUUUCCAAGGCUGGGAAAGGUCAUUCAGGCCUUUCUCUUCAUCUGUGAGCUGCCUGCAUCCUUCUGAUAAACUACCUUCUUUGGCCUAAGUAAGCCAAGAGUUUUUCCUUAGCUUGCCAUGACUUACCAGGUGGAUAUGAGGCCUGUGCCUGCCUCACCUGGCCCUGGGCAUGCAGCCCCACCCCUCUCCUGGAGGAGCUCCUUGUCAGGAGGGGAGCCUCAGCUGAGCCCCUCAAUGACCAUCAUCCUCACAAGCUGGGAUGGGAGCAGUGGAGGCUGAGGGAGAAUGAAAAGGUCCUUCAUUUGCAGUGAUGGACUCAGAUCUAUAAAUAGUCGUCAGAAAUAAAGCAGAGAAAGAGAGAAGUCAUUUGUGGGCUCACAUUUAAUUCAAAGGUGUUCUUUUUCUUCCUCUGAAAUAAG
ensembl:lncRNA